AGUGUUGAAACACUGGUUCCCCAUACAAUCACCAAAGUUAAACAAUGUUGAGCCUGGUCAGUACUUAGAUGGGUGAAUGCUUGAGAAUACCAGGUGCUGUAA